rnacentral:rRNA from 1 species
UACGUAGGUGGCAAGCGUUGCUCGGAAUCACUGGGCGUAAAGGGCGCGUAGGCGGCCCGCUAAGUCGAACGUGAAAUCCCCGAGCUCAACUCGGGAACUGCGUCCGAUACUGGCGGGCUUGAAUCCGGGAGAGGGAUGCGGAAUUCCAGGUGUAGCGGUGAAAUGCGUAGAUAUCUGGAGGAACACCGGUGGCGAAGGCGGCAUCCUGGACCGGUAUUGACGCUGAGGCGCGAAAGCUAGGGGAGCAAACGGG